UUCGCUACACUCGCAUUAACAUCUGCUAACCAUGUGUAUGUGACAAAUAAAAUUUGAUUUGAUUUGACAUUUCUCUCAUGUAAAUGUUGUAGCUACAUAGAAAGAUUAAACAUUUUAUUUGGGAAGUAUCCAGUCUUUGCUAAUGAUUUCAAGUUGUAUUGAAUUUACUUUGAUCUGUUAAGACAUUGAAUACAUGUUGUUUGGUAUAUUUACUAAAUUUAGUAUGUUUAGCUUUUUCUCUGUGAAGUAAGUUGAUUUAAAGUUAUGUGAUUUGGUUUCUGUAAAUACAUUUCAAAGUUAACACAGAGUAACCAGAAACAUGAUCUAAUUUGCAUAUUCAUAUCCAGUUUGCAGCAAAUUUGCAGCAAACGGUAGAAUGUUCGCCACAAAUGUCCUAAAAUUGUUUGCCAGAAGUUCACAAGUUUCACAGUUUUCCACAACUAAAUUUGAAUACAUGAGCUUGCUGCUAAAUUUGUGGCAAAUUGGCCAAAGGUUUGCCCCAACUGUUGUCCGAAGCCAGUUUUUUUGGUAAGGGUUGGGAAAGUUGUCCUAGUCACUGUUGACUAGGGUCGGGUUUUCGAAACUAAGCAUUCAGUUAAUGUACUGACCAUGUCUUUUCCCCUGUUUCGCCUGUAGGGUGCAGCAGCAUAUAUAGUCAACUAUCUGAUGUUCAUGUUCUGGGCUCUACUCCCUUUCCUGGCUGUUAUAUUGGUCUGGGCCUUUGCAUCUUACGCCUGUGGAUCAGGAAUACCAGAGGAAAGAACACUCAUCCUGGCCACUACCCGGUGCUAGAGGUCCUGGUUGUAACUGGAGCUACAGCCCCACUAUCCUUCCCUAACAGACAAGGUUCGCAUGCGACAGGAGGAGGUGGUCAGUGCCUCAUUUAAUGUUCUUCAAGGAACACGUGCCCCCCCCCCUGGAAUUCACUCAAAUCUGGAAGAGCUCCCCUCCUCCUUCCAUCCCUCAUGCACUUCUCUAUGGGACUGUGAAGAGGACACCUGCCCUUUUGGACACCUCCUUUCCCCUGUCUCCUUGCAUCCCGGCAUCUCUCCUUUAAUCCACUGCCCCAUGGGAAUGGGAAGAGGACACCAUCCCCAUAGGAGCGAGACACAUGAAGACUGUCUUGCUUCCCUAAUAAAAGUUGGUACUCUCAAGGGAGGGAAGGAGAGAGUGUUGAAAAAUACGUGGCUACAGACAGAAGAUAUCAUAAUGGCAAAUCAUGAAGGAAUAUGUAUGAUGCUUUGAUACCACUGACACAGACAGGAUGGGAAAAGGAGGGGAAAGAGAGAAGUAGGGAUAAGAAGGGUGAGGAGAGGUGGUGGGAAAGUGCUGACUUAAGUCUUACUUAUACUAGCCACAGUUAGAAACAUAGUAUGGAGCCCCAAGCUAGCUCCAGCCUCCACCUUUCCCCGUCAGAAGACAUGCCCAGACAGAGCACUCCAUCCUGGGCUGAUGGAUGCUUGGGAGCCCCCCUGCCCUCGUUCUUCUGUUCUGGCUUCCUCUGCCCUCAGGGAAGGGGUAGGUUGGGAAAAGAGGAUUCAGACACUUGCGCACACUAAAACACACACCAAAGACUCUCUGGCUGCCUGGGAACUACUCCGAGACAUAUUGAACAGACUGCGAGAGCUGCAAUAUCGCACACAGAGAGAGAGAGAGAGAGAGAGAGAGAGAGAGAGAGAGAGACGUAAACACCAAUCUGUGCCUUCAGGAAUCUUUUAUACAGAUGUCUAUGGUCAUAAUCUCUGUGAGAAGGUAUCAUUAACAAGCAGUGUGUGUGUGUACGAACUGUGUGUCAAAGUGUGUGUGUAUGUAUGUGUCUAAGUGUGUGCGUGCUGAAGUAAAGCUAGAACACAAAAGGGAAACAUCAGUUUAGUAUUCCUCCUAAAAUUGUCCCCAUUACUGCAUAGGUAUGUUUCCAUGACAACCUUGUUGCCUUCGUCAAUUUGAUACGCAACAGGCGUGGGAAAAGGAUGACAACACACACACUGACAAACUGUCCGGUUAUUUGAAUACAAUGCAGUUAAGUACAGGUGACUCCCACAGCUACAACAUAAUGCUAUAGAGAGCUAAAGGGACAAAGAGACUUCACAUGGUGAUCAGGUUACUGACCUGCUCAGAUUCACACAUUCCUCAAACACCUACUUGUUGGAAGACACACACAGGGACACACACGUGUGCGUGUGUUUGAGUCUGCGCUUAUGUGUCCUUAGGUGUGGGAAUAUUUUACAAAAAGUGAAAGUUUGCCAAUAUGGAACAGUUUCUGAGUUGAAAGAUCUAACAUUAAGGAAGUUCACACACACCCAUGUUCCAAGUUAGUCAAGUUGUCAGUUUAACCUUGUCAGUUUAAAUUGUUUGUCAAGUUGCUAAUUUAACAUGGUCAGCUUAAAUUAGUCAAGUUGUCGGUUUAACCUUGUCAGGAAUCUUGUGGUCUUUUCUCUUCUCUUUUUCUGAUUCUUAAAUCUUUUUUGAAUUGUGAAUAAAAUGGGAAUGAAUUCUGAAUCGAAUUGUAAUGAAAUGGAACCCAGCAAACUGUAGUGUAGUUCUUUGAUCCAACGACUAAGGGUUACUCGUGCACAUACACACAGACGCUGUAUUGCUGUACUGAAGAUACUGUUAGUAAGGUAGGGGUCUCACAAAACUGUGUGUGUGUGAGAGCUGGGGUAUCUGUGUGUGUUUGUGUGUCGAUGAGUUCUUGGGAUGCCUUGUGUUUAUAAUCAUCAAUGUUAUCGGAUUAUCUCAUAAUUGUAUCCUUAUGUUCUUGUAGGAAAAACCAAUUAAAUCACAUCUUUCAUAUAUUCACUGUUCUUGUUAUUAUGGCAUUGUUGCCGUCAUUCAUCAGUUUAUCCACCCAUUCCUCUCACAUGCUCACUUCCAUCUUGGUGUGUCUCCCAAAUGGCACCAUAUUCCCUAUAUAGUGCACUACUUUUGACCAGAACCCAAAGGGAAGUAGUGCAGCAUGUAGCGGAUAGGCUGCUAUUUGGGACGCAGGCCCUGGUCACUCCUUUUUAUCGUCAUCCCUCAAUCCACCCAUUCAAUCUGUUUAUUCCCCCAUCUUCCGCAUCAUCACAUCAUGAUAUAAAGACACAAGGAGAUUGUUUUGGCACCUGCUGUGAUUCUCAUGCUGUACUUGUCCACCCAUUUCUCUCUCCAUCUUAAUGUGAUUCUCAUGUUCACUGUUCUUGGACACUAAAUCUCACACUCACCCAUUCCUCCAUCCACCCAUCCUAUCCUCUAUUCUUUUUGUUCUCUCAGUCUCUGUCCUCAGACAACUCUCUCUCUUCUGUACUGUCCCCACUGUCCUUCUCUCUCUUCCUCUUCCUUCCGAAGCGACAAAACAUUCCAAAGAUGAUUUCACAAUGCUGCCUGUCCUGUCGAGCUGCUUGACUCCUCUCUCUCACUCGUCUUGGAACUGGAAGUGCAAUAAGAAAAAGGGUUGGGUCUGGUUUUGAGCGGAGCACUGGACAGUUUUUUUCCUUCUCUCACUGUAGGGGCCACUUCCUCUGCUACUGCCAACCUUUGUGUGCUUGGCUGGGGUUUAAAAGCCUUAUCACUGAGACGGAUCACUGAGACUGUACUUACAAUGAGCACCUCCAUACUUCCUAAGAACCUUAUCAGAGGUUUAAUGAUUUUUCAUUCUGAAUGUGGAAUGUUGCAUUGUUUUCAUGCCCUAUGAGGUAUUCCAAAAUUCCGUGUCCCUCCCAGAAUUAUAGAAGAGUCCAAAUUCCUCUAAGUCUGGGCAAUGUGCUCGUUGCACUCGUAUUGUUCUGCGAGGCGUGUGUGUGUGUGUCUCUGUGUCUCUCUGUCUGAGCCACACACACAGUUGUCUGGCCCCAGUUGGUCUAUCCAGGAUGUUGUUGGUUUGUUUCCUAGACCUGGCCACAGUCAGGGUGGAGGGGUGUGGGCUCCAGUCUUAGAAAGCCAAUUUCCUGACUGGCCCUUAGAACAACAGAGAACUCUAUAGACUAAUAACACUGGAGAGAAUGUCAACGUUGUAGAUAUGAAAAAGUGUGUAUGUGAGAGAGAGAGAGAGAGAGAGAGAGAGGUGUGUGGCAGGAUGGGAGGUGUUGGGAAAAAAAGGGAGAUUAAAAGAGGGAUUAGUCCUUGUUCACACUCCUUGGAAAAUAAUAAACGAGGGAGGAGGGAAACAAGUCAAACAAGACCCACUGGUCACCUCAAUCAUAUCACGCGUGUGGGCAUAGAAAUUAAAUGAUGUAAUUGACAUGCCUUGAUUGAACUCUGUGGAUCAUAUAAUUGUUUACUAAUUGUAAUUAUCUAAACGUCGAUCAGAAGUAAGAACUCCUAAUGGCCAGUUGGAGUUAAGCGUUAUACAGAACAAUAUGAAUAAUUUACCUAAACCACUUGGCUGUAAGUUCUAGAACUUGGUCAUAUUUUAGAACUGAUCUAAACACUGCUGGGGAACUCUAUUUGGCCCCAUCCAAGAGGACCACAUGCGCAUGCUUACACCUGCAAACACACACGCACGCACACACACGCACGCACACACAAGAUUUUUUUUGCAGGACGUAACACAUCAUACGGAAUGGAUGACGUAGUACACAAUCGGAUGAAGUAGUAUACACAAAAAAGGGACCCGUUUUGGCAUGUGAGACCCACUUUCAAAACUACUGGAUGAAAUGAUACAAAAGUAGUUCUGGAGCAUCACUUGCAGGUGUUCACAUCCAAAAGUUGUUUGCUCUUGAUAAUAACGCAUGUGUGACCAACUGGCUCGAUUGGAUCUUAUGUAGCAAAAUUUGAAAUUGUGUUUUUUACAUUGGAUAAAAGUAGAGACGCAGACCUAGA